rnacentral:rRNA from 1 species
GUCGAACGAAGUACAAUACUUAGUGGCAGACGGGUGAGUAACAUGUAGGUAUCUGCCCUUUGGCCUGGAAUAACACGAGGAAACUUGUGCUAAUACCGGAUAAGUCUUUACGGAGAAAGCUUUAUGCACCAUUGGAUGAGCCUGCACUUGAUUAGUUUGUUGGUGGGGUAAUGGCCUACCAAGACUGUGAUCAAUAGCUGAUUUGAGAGGAUGAUCAGCCACAUUGGGACUGAGACACGGCCCAAACUCCUACGGGAGGCAGCAGUGGGGAAUCUUGCACAAUGGAGGAAACUCUGAUGCAGCGAUGCCGCGUGAGUGAAGAAGGCCUUUGGGUUGUAAAGCUCUUUCGUCGGGGAAGAAAAUGACUGUACCCGAAUAAGAAGGUCCGGCUAACUUCGUGCCAGCAGCCGCGGUAAUACGAAGGGACCUAGCGUAGUUCGGAAUUACUGGGCUUAAAGAGUUCGUAGGUGGUUGAAAAAGUUGGUGGUGAAAUCCCAGAGCUUAACUCUGGAACUGCCAUCAAAACUUUUCAGCUAGAGUAUGAUAGAGGAAAGCAGAAUUUCUAGUGUAGAGGUGAAAUUCGUAGAUAUUAGAAAGAAUACCAAUUGCGAAGGCAGCUUUCUGGAUCAUUACUGACACUGAGGAACGAAAGCAUGGGUAGCGAAGAGGAUUAGAUACCCUCGUAGUCCAUGCCGUAAACGAUGUGUGUUAGACGUUGGAAAUUUAUUUUCAGUGUCGCAGCGAAAGCGAUAAACACACCGCCUGGGGAGUACGACCGCAAGGUUAAAACUCAAAUGAAUUGACGGGGACCCGCACAAGUAGUGGAGCAUGU